AGUGAACGCUGGCGGCAGGCCUAACACAUGCAAGUCGAACGAGUGGCGGACGGGUGAGGAAUGGAUGGGGAGCUGCCCGAUGGAGGGGGAUAACUACUGGAAACGGUAGCUAAUACCGAAUAGCAUCAGAUGAACCUAUAUGGGAUUAGCUGGUAGUGAAGGUAACGGCUUACCUAGGCGACGAUCCCUAGCUGGUCCGAGAGGAUGAUCAGUCACACGGGUACUGAGACACUGCGCCGACUCCUACGGGAGGCAGCAGUUGGGAAUAUUGCACAAUCGGCGCAAGCCUGAUGCAGCCAUGCCGCGUGUAUGACGAAGGCCUUCGGGUUGUAAAGUACUUUCAUUCGGGAGGCGUUACCUACCGAAGAAGCACCGGCUAACUCCGUGCCAGCAGCCGCGGUAAUAC
rnacentral:rRNA from 1 species